UUGACAAUCUUAUCGUGAAGGCAUACUUUCAGGAGUGAGGGUAGAGCGGGGUUUCCCCCGCCCUGGUAGUCUUAGUAUGCUGGGUAGCUAAUCAGUAAGAGCACCACGAUGAUGAUCCACUUCAUCAUGACCCUUUCCUUAUU
rnacentral:sRNA from 1 species